rnacentral:rRNA from 1 species
UACGUAGGGGGCAAGCGUUGUCCGGAUUUAUUGGGCGUAAAGAGCGUGUAGGCGGCUUGGUAGGUCCGCUGUGAAAACUCGAGGCUCAACCUCGAGAUGUCGGCGGAAACCACUUGGCUAGAGUCCGGAAGAGGAGAGUGGAAUUCCUGGUGUAGCGGUGAAAUGCGCAGAUAUCAGGAAGAACACCUAUGUCGAAGGCAGCUCUCUGGGACGGUACUGACGCUGAGACGCGAAAGCGUGGGGAGCGAACAGG